UGCCCCAUGGCUGAGUUGGUUACAGCGUCCGACUGUUAUAAUUACCUAACUAUCGGAAGGUCAUGAGUUCGAGCCUCAUUGGGGCAG